rnacentral:rRNA from 1 species
UACAGAGGGUGCGAGCGUUAAUCGGAAUUACUGGGCGUAAAGGGUGCGUAGGUGGUUAAAUAAGUUAGGUGUGAAAGCCCAGGGCUUAACCUUGGAAUUGCGCUUAAUACUGUUUAGCUAGAGUACUGUAGAGGAAAGUGGAAUUUCCGGUGUAGCGGUGAAAUGCGUAGAUAUCGGAAGGAACAUCAGUGGCGAAGGCGGCCUUCUGGACCAAUACUGACGCUCAUGCACGAAAGCGUGGGGAGCAAACAGG